AGUAAAUGAGAAAAGUAUUGCUUUCCAACUUUCCAACUUUCCAACUUUCCUCUAUCCUCUAUCCUCUAUCCCCUUCUCUGGUGUGAUAUCAGUCAUCAAUCAUCAUCAUCUUUUGUUCUAAUAUGUUGGGUACAAAGAUGAUUAAAGAAAUGAAUAUUUUUUCUUUGUUUUCGAAUCAGCUUCGGAGGAAUGGUCCUCGGAAUCGGAUGCUUACAAGUGUCGUGGACUUAUGUGGUGGUGGCGUUGUGCUUUGGGCGGCUGUAGAAACUUGCUUUGACGCCGAGAUCGAAUUACAUUGAAUAGUGGCGUAUAUAGUUUUGGGGUGCUUAUUCUCGAGAGUUUAACCGGAAAACAUCCAUUAGACAUCUUUCCUGAAGGGUCAAACCUUGUGCAAUAGGUACAAGACCAUAUGCGAAGAAAAGGUGAUCCAACACACAUUAUUGACGAAAAGCUUAAAGGAUCUGAUCCUGAUAUACUUCUUGAGAUGCAAGAAAUGUUGAAUAUCUCUUUAUAUUGUGUUUCCAGACGAGUUGAGGAUCGCCCCACCAUGAAGGAUGUAGUGGCUAUGCUAAUGCUUAUUCGACGUGCUAAUGAUCCUAGUGCAGAACCUCAGGGCCUUAUGCAAGAUCUUUCUGUACCUUCUGCAAGUGCAAGUCAUAGUAGUAUCCAAUAAGAAUCAAUCAAACAAAAUAAUGAAACUCCUCUGUUUCUUUGCAUCUUUGUUUGAGUUGUAUAUAUAGAGGUUGGGAUUAAUGACUGAGAUAAUUAAUUGGUUUCCAUUAUCAUCAUUGUAUGUUGCUAUUGGGUGAUUUAUCCAAUGCGUACUUUAAGUUUAUGCGUAAGUCGUUCUACAUAUUAUAUGUUGGAAUUUAGGAGGCAGGUUACUUUCUAGUUCAGUUCAGUUCGGUUCAGCUCAGUUCAAUUCGGUUCAGCUCAGCUGUUCUAUGCCGAAGAGAACAAGACUUAAGUAAUAAAAUACAAAUUUACCAUCUUUUAUCAUUA